rnacentral:rRNA from 1 species
UACAGAGGUCUCAAGCGUUGUUCGGAUUCAUUGGGCGUAAAGGGUGCGUAGGCGGCUUUGCAAGUCGGAUGUGAAAGCCCUCGGCUCAACCAAGGAAGUGCAUCCGAAACUGCAGAGCUUGAGUACUUAAGAGGAUCGCGGAAUUCCCGGUGUAGAGGUGAAAUUCGUAGAUAUCGGGAGGAACACCAGUGGCGAAGGCGGCGAUCUGGGAAGAUACUGACGCUGAGGUGCGAAAGCGUGGGGAGCAAACAGG